AACCUCCGCAAUGUGAGAAAUCGCGACGGGGGAUCCCAAGUGCCAUUCUUAACGGGAUGGCUUUUCAUUAGUGUAAAGAGCUUUUGGAAUAAGAGCUGGGCAAGACCGGUGCCAGCCGCCGCGGUAACACCGGCAGCUCUAGUGGUAACAAUUUUUAUUGGGCCUAAAGCGUCCGUAGCCGGUUUAAUAAGUCUCUGGUGAAAUCCUGCAGCUUAACUGUGGGAAUUGCUGGAGAUACUAUUAGACUUGAGACCGGGAGAGGUUAGAGGUACUCCCAGGGUAGAGGUGAAAUUCUGUAAUCCUGGGAGGACCGCCUGUUGCGAAGGCGUCUAACUGGAACGGUUCUGACGGUGAGGGACGAAAGUUAGGGGCGCGAACCGGAUUAGAUACCCGGGUAGUCCUAACUGUAAACGAUGCGGACUUGGUGUUGGGGUGGCUUUGAGCUGCUUCAGUGCCGAAGGGAAGCUGUUAAGUCCGCCGCCUGGGAAGUACGGUCGCAAGACUGAAACUUAAAGGAAUU
rnacentral:rRNA from 1 species